rnacentral:rRNA from 1 species
UACGUAGGGUGCAAGCGUUGUCCGGAAUUAUUGGGCGUGAAGAGCUCGUAGGCGGUUUGUUGCGUCGGCUGUGAAAUCCCGAGGCUCAACCUCGGGUCUGCAGUCGAUACGAGCAAACUAGAGUGUUGCAGGGGAGACUGGAAUUCCUGGUGUAGCGGUGAAAUGCGUAGAUAUCAGGAGGAAUACCGAUGGCGAAGGCAGGUCUCUGGGCUAGAACUGACGCUCAUGCACGAAAGCGUGGGGAGCAAACAGG